AUUUAUAUAGUAUAAAAAUUAUAUCUAACUUCCAAUUAGAAGAUCUAUUACUAAUUAGUAUAAAUA
rnacentral:tRNA from 1 species